rnacentral:lncRNA from 1 species
UAGCCACUGGUGCUGAUGCCAGUGGACUCCAGAACACUGGAGGAGCUUUGGCCCAAUUAGGAAGUCAGCUGGAGCCUCCCGGAGCAGGCAGCCGCGUUACCUGCUGUCUGAUGUUUUGCCAGUACGCCUCAGUGCAAUCAUUCCGCGGCACUGGGAUGAUGUUUCAAUUUCGCCCGCUGCUCAGUCAGGACUCUUAAGAGCCUCAUUGUCCCGGAGUGGGCUUCCUGCCUGUUACCUCGCUCCUCCUGCCUCUCCUCUCUUGGACACAGCUGUGACGUUGCUCACCGGCCAAGUGAGUUGUCAGUGUCCCUGGGCUGUGGGUUGGCAGGUUUCCACUUUCAGAGGAGCACUGGCCAGCUAGCGGGGGAGGAUCGCAGGCUCUAGAAAUGCCAGUCUUGUUAUUUAGACUUCCAGAGUUCUCUGUGUCGAGGGUGGCCGGCCUUCCACAGUUGUUGCUAUUAGAGAACGUUAGAGCUUAGAAACUUGUUUAGAACAUGUGGACAAGCAGUUAAGAAAAAAAAAAAAAA